rnacentral:rRNA from 1 species
UACGAAGGGGGCUAGCGUUGCUCGGAAUCACUGGGCGUAAAGGGUGCGUAGGCGGGUUUUUAAGUCAGAGGUGAAAUCCUGGAGCUCAACUCCAGAACUGCCUUUGAUACUGAAAGUCUUGAGUAUGGGAGAGGUGAGUGGAACUGCGAGUGUAGAGGUGAAAUUCGUAGAUAUUCGCAAGAACACCAGUGGCGAAGGCGGCUCACUGGCCCAUUACUGACGCUGAGGCACGAAGCGUGGGGAGCAAACAGG